GGCUUUGUAGCUUAGCUGGUAGAGCGCUUGCUGUGUUGAAGCAGGGUGUUUCUGUCACUGGUUCGAAUCCAGCCAAGGCCC